rnacentral:rRNA from 1 species
GAGUUUGAUCCUGGCUCAGGAUGAACGCUGGCGGCGUGCUUAACACAUGCAAGUCGAACGGUGAAGCAGAGCUUGCUCUGUGGAUCAGUGGCGAACGGGUGAGUAACACGUGAGCAACCUGCCCCUGACUCUGGGAUAAGCGCUGGAAACGGCGUCUAAUACUGGAUAUGAGCUGCGACCGCAUGGUCAGCAGUUGGAAAGAUUUUUCGGUCUGGGAUGGGCUCACGGCCUAUCAGCUUGUUGGUGAGGUAAUGGCUCACCAAGGCGUCGACGGGUAGCCGGCCUGAGAGGGUGACCGGCCACACUGGGACUGAGACACGGCCCAGACUCCUACGGGAGGCAGCAGUGGGGAAUAUUGCACAAUGGGCGAAAGCCUGAUGCAGCAACGCCGCGUGAGGGAUGACGGCCUUCGGGUUGUAAACCUCUUUUAGCAGGGAAGAAGCGAAAGUGACGGUACCUGCAGAAAAAGCGCCGGCUAACUACGUGCCAGCAGCCGCGGUAAUACGUAGGGCGCAAGCGUUAUCCGGAAUUAUUGGGCGUAAAGAGCUCGUAGGCGGUUUGUCGCGUCUGCUGUGAAAUCCCGAGGCUCAACCUCGGGUCUGCAGUGGGUACGGGCAGACUAGAGUGCGGUAGGGGAGAUUGGAAUUCCUGGUGUAGCGGUGGAAUGCGCAGAUAUCAGGAGGAACACCGAUGGCGAAGGCAGAUCUCUGGGCCGUUACUGACGCUGAGGAGCGAAAGGGUGGGGAGCAAACAGGCUUAGAUACCCUGGUAGUCCACCCCGUAAACGUUGGGAACUAGUUGUGGGGUCCAUUCCACGGAUUCCGUGACGCAGCUAACGCAUUAAGUUCCCCGCCUGGGGAGUACGGCCGCAAGGCUAAAACUCAAAGGAAUUGACGGGGACCCGCACAAGCGGCGGAGCAUGCGGAUUAAUUCGAUGCAACGCGAAGAACCUUACCAAGGCUUGACAUAUACGAGAACGGGCCAGAAAUGGUCAACUCUUUGGACACUCGUAAACAGGUGGUGCAUGGUUGUCGUCAGCUCGUGUCGUGAGAUGUUGGGUUAAGUCCCGCAACGAGCGCAACCCUCGUUCUAUGUUGCCAGCACGUAAUGGUGGGAACUCAUGGGAUACUGCCGGGGUCAACUCGGAGGAAGGUGGGGAUGACGUCAAAUCAUCAUGCCCCUUAUGUCUUGGGCUUCACGCAUGCUACAAUGGCCGGUACAAAGGGCUGCAAUACCGUGAGGUGGAGCGAAUCCCAAAAAGCCGGUCCCAGUUCGGAUUGAGGUCUGCAACUCGACCUCAUGAAGUCGGAGUCGCUAGUAAUCGCAGAUCAGCAACGCUGCGGUGAAUACGUUCCCGGGUCUUGUACACACCGCCCGUCAAGUCAUGAAAGUCGGUAACACCUGAAGCCGGUGGCCCAACCCUUGUGGAGGGAGCCGUCGAAGGUGGGAUUGGUAAUUAGGACUAAGUCGUAACAAGGUAAC